CAACACACCUUUUUGACUCGGUCUGGCAUGUAAAGUCACCGACCGGCCCUUUCGUGUGGGGAUCUCAUCAUUUUGUUUCCUGUUCUCUACUCCUGAGUCCUGACUAGAACGGCGAUCGGUGGUGCUGGAUGGAAUUAAGCUCCAUCUUCUUUCAAUCUUGACUGGUUAGGUUGUUCCAGAAUUAUGCAUAGAUUCUGCAAGUAUGGAAGGUUGGCAUGAUGGGUUUCUGAUAUCAGGUGACUACAAACUGUACAGUAGUUGAGACUUACCGCGAGAGUCGUGGGUCCAACAUGGGAAGAAAGGUUCUGCUUUACAGGUCCGCCAGUUCGGAACUCAUCACUUGGUGUGAUUUGCCAGAAGCCAACAGGUGGACUAGAGCAUAUCCAACCAUGGACCUUGUUAUCCUUAUUAUCGAACGAGUACUGGCAACUUGGUUAAAGUCUCAACAUAACAAUUUAUCGUCUUUAAUUUGAUGAAGACUCCAAAGCCAAAAGGAUCCUGAUGUAGCUUUCCGCGAAUAUCAUACACCCAACAAAGAAGAAAAUAGCUGUGGUUUAUUGCUCUAACCGGCCAAAUCUGAUUCCCUUGAGUGAAAAAAACAAACAUGUCAGAACAUAACUGUUUGUCCAGACAUAUUUUCUGACUCGUAAGAUGCUGCAGAAUGAUGACAUAACUUUUCCAGGAAGCUGGUAUCAAGGUUGGUGAAAUAGGUUUAAGAACAGAGUUACGUAACCAAAACAUGAAAAUUUUAUAAUCUCUAGUCACGUCGGAUUCUUUACUUGUCCAUCCUGUUGUAAGUUGUAACACAUUCUGGACCUAAUCAGUAUUGGCAUAUUAGUUUGAAUUUCAGCCUAUCUUUAUG